AUCUCAAUUGUAGGACCCUACCUCUUAAGUCACCUGUAUUAACUGCUCCCUUAAAUGUUGCACUUAAUGUUUACCAAGUUGUUAUUUUUUGUUAGGUUGUUUGUUGAUUCUCACAGCAUCCCUGUGAGCUAGGUGGAUAUAGUUUAUGCUGGUAAACAGCCAGGGAGGAAAAGAGCUUGAGUCAAUGUGGGUGGUUAAGUGGGCCUGGAGCUAGAACAGUGUGAUGAACUGUGCGCUCCACAUCUUAACCAUUUGUAUGCCAUAAGUGUCUAUAGAUCAAGCAGUGGACCUUUUAAAAUUAAAGCUGUGGCAUUUAACUGGUUAAAUGCGUUAGAGGAGCUCAGGCUUGAAAGGGUCCUGUGAAGAAUCAUUUUAUAUAAGGAAUAGUUUUAAAGGAGAUAGGAGGGAAGGGAUUCUUUUUAGGGUAUCAAGAUUGCACUCUUGGUUGAAGAACUCUACAAAUAAUAUUAUUAUUCAUGAGAAUGUCACGGAGGCAUGAGAGGUUAGGGAUUUGCUAUUUUAACAGAGCCUUUAGCCAGUUUGGCUCUACGGAGGGUCGGCCUGUGUACCAAAGGGUCCUGGGUUUGAUUUCUGUCAAGGGCACGUAUCUUGGUUUCGAGCUCCUCAUUGGCCCUGACCCUGGUUAGGGCUUAUGCAGGAGGUAACCAAUCGAUGUGUUUCUCUCACAUUAAUGUUUCUCUGUCUCUCUCCUACUCUCCCUAAAAUUCAAUGAAAAAAUAUCCUCAGGUGAGGAUUAACA